GUGAUUAAAUCGAGCGUGUCUUCAUUGACCGCUCACCCUUCUCACCAUCCACAUACACCCGUGCACUGUUUAGCCUGAGCCGGUUUUCCGGUCCAGGUAUCAUUUCAUACAAACUCUAGUCUUAUGAAUGUAAACGUUUUAAUAACAUAAUA
rnacentral:misc_RNA from 1 species